rnacentral:rRNA from 1 species
GAUGAACGCUGGCGGCGUGCCUAAUACAUGCAAGUCGAGCGAAUGGAUUAAGAGCUUGCUCUUAUGAAGUUAGCGGCGGACGGGUGAGUAACACGUGGGUAACCUGCCCAUAAGACUGGGAUAACUCCGGGAAACCGGGGCUAAUACCGGAUAACAUUUUGAACCGCAUGGUUCGAAAUUGAAAGGCGGCUUCGGCUGUCACUUAUGGAUGGACCCGCGUCGCAUUAGCUAGUUGGUGAGGUAACGGCUCACCAAGGCAAGGAUGCGUAGCCGAACUGGGAGGGUGAUCGGCCACACGUGGACUGAGACACGGCCCAGCAUCCUACGGGAGGCAGCAGUAGGGAAUCUUCCGCAAUGGACGAAAGUCUGACGGAGCAACGCCGCGUGAGUGAUGAAGGCUUUCGGGUCGUAAAACUCUGUUGUUAGGGAAGAACAAGUGCUAGUUGAAUAAGCUGGCACCUUGACGGUACCUAACCAGAAAGCCACGGCUAACUACGUGCCAGCCGCCGCGGUAA